GUUGAAGCCGGUGGUGUGAGUUACCUGUAGUAGUAGUUGAAGCAGGUGGUGUGAGUUACCUGUAGUAGUAGUUGAAGCAGGUGGUGUGAGUUACCUGUAGUAGUAGUUGAAGCAGGUGGUGUGAGUUGCCUGUAGUAGUAGUUGAAGCCGGUGGUGUGAGUUGCCUGUAGUAGUAGUUGAAGCAGGUGGUGUGAGUUACCUGUAGUAGUAGUUGAAGCAGGUGGUGUGAGUUACCUGUUGAAGCAGGUGGUGUGAGUUACCUGUAGUAGUAGUUGAAGCCGGUGGUGUGAGUUACCUGCAGUAGUAGUUGAAGCAGGUGGUGUGAGUUACCUGUAGUAGUAGUUGAAGCAGGUGGUGUGAGUUACCUGUAGUAGUAGUUGAAUCAGGUGGUGAAGUUGCCUGUAGUAGUAGUUGAAGCCGGUGGUGUGAGUUACCUGUAGUAGUAGUUGAAGCCGGUGGUGAGUUACC